UACAGAGGGUGCAAACGUUGCUCGGAAUUAUUGGGCGUAAAGCGCGUGUAGGCGGCUUGUUAAGUCGGUUGUGAAAACCCAUGGCUCAACCAUGGAAGUGCGUCCGAAACUGGCAAGCUAGAGUCUUGACGAGGAUGGCGGAAUUCCCAGUGUAGAGGUGAAAUUCGUAGAUAUUGGGAGGAACACCGGUGGCGAAAGCGGCCAUCUGGGAAGGUACUGACGCUGAGACACGAAAGCGUGGGGAGCAAACAGG
rnacentral:rRNA from 1 species